UCUAACAUAAACCAGUAUAAAAUGUAACAUUUUUUUUUCUUUACUAGGUCUGUAUGUGCUACCUAUAAAAUACAAACUUGCAUAAAAUUCAAUCCCAUAAUAAUCAUAAAAUACAAUCUAGAAAUAUAUACAAUGAACAAAACAAUCAUUGUACUUCCUAAUUAUUACACAUCAAAAUAAUACUAAUUGUAACAAGGGAGAAACACC
rnacentral:lncRNA from 1 species